rnacentral:rRNA from 1 species
GACGAACCGAGCGAACGUUGUUCGGAAUCACUGAGCUUAAAGGGCGCGUAGGCGGGCUGCCAAGUUUGGGGUGAAAUCCUCCGGCUCAACCGGGGGAAGUGCCUUGAAUACUGGCGGUCUGGAGGGAGGUAGGGGCGUGCGGAACUGUAGGUGGAGCGGUGAAAUGCGUUGAUAUCUACAGGAACUCCGGUGGCGAAGGCGGCACGCUGGACCUUUUUCUGACGCUGAGGCGCGAAAGCCAGGGGGAGCGAACGGGG